rnacentral:rRNA from 1 species
AGAGUUUGAUCCUGGCUCAGGACGAACGCUGGCGGCGCGCCUAACACAUGCAAGUCGAACGGAGCUGAGAGGAGCUUGCUUUUCUUAGCUUAGUGGCGAACGGGUGAGUAACGCGUGAGUAACCUGCCCUGGAGUGGGGGACAACAGUUGGAAACGACUGCUAAUACCGCAUAAGCCCACGGUCCGGCAUCGGGCUGAGGGAAAAGGAUUUAUUCGCUUCAGGAUGGACUCGCGUCCAAUUAGCUAGUUGGUGAGGUAACGGCCCACCAAGGCGACGAUUGGUAGCCGGACUGAGAGGUUGAACGGCCACAUUGGGACUGAGACACGGCCCAGACUCCUACGGGAGGCAGCAGUGGGGGAUAUUGCACAAUGGGGGAAACCCUGAUGCAGCGACGCCGCGUGGAGGAAGAAGGUCUUCGGAUUGUAAACUCCUGUUGUUGAGGAAGAUAAUGACGGUACUCAACAAGGAAGUGACGGCUAACUACGUGCCAGCAGCCGCGGUAAAACGUAGGUCACAAGCGUUGUCCGGAAUUACUGGGUGUAAAGGGAGCGCAGGCGGGAAGACAAGUUGGAAGUGAAAUCCAUGGGCUCAACCCAUGAACUGCUUUCAAAACUGUUUUUCUUGAGUAGUGCAGAGGUAGGCGGAAUUCCCGGUGUAGCGGUGGAAUGCGUAGAUAUCGGGAGGAACACCAGUGGCGAAGGCGGCCUACUGGGCACCAACUGACGCUGAGGCUCGAAAGUGUGGGUAGCAAACAGGAUUAGAUACCCUGGUAGUCCACACCGUAAACGAUGAUUACUAGGUGUUGGAGGAUUGACCCCUUCAGUGCCGCAGUUAACACAAUAAGUAAUCCACCUGGGGAGUACGACCGCAAGGUUGAAACUCAAAGGAAUUGACGGGGGCCCGCACAAGCAGUGGAGUAUGUGGUUUAAUUCGA